UACAGAGGCCCCAAGCGUUACUGAGAAUCACUGGGUUUAAAGGGUUCGUAGGUGGUCCGUUAAGUCCGUUGUGAAAUCCCUGGGCUCAACCCAGGAAAUGCUUCGGAUACUGGCGGACUUGAGGCUAGUAGGGGUCACUGGAACUGACGGUGGAGCGGUGAAAUGCGUAGAUAUCGUCAGGAACGCCAAUGGUGAAGACAGGUGACUGGGCUAGUCCUGACACUGAGGCACGAAAGCGUGGGGAUCAAACGGG
rnacentral:rRNA from 1 species